CUCCACUUGUUGGAAACAUCAGAAUAAUACUCCAUGUGCUAUGAGAACCUUGGUGCAGAUCAGAUCGACUCCCUUCCUUGAAGAUCAUAGAGAUUGAAGGCCCAACUGAGCCGAUCAUCUACAGUGCCACGGAGAAUAAUGGAUAAACCAGCUACAAAAUCCUGCAAGAGACAAGGCAUUACAAGAGGAAGCUGCUUCACACUGUGGAUCAAGUUAUUCUCAGAAGGUUCAUAGUGCCUAAUAUAGCAAUAGCACUUAGACUUAUAU